UGCCCUUUGUACACACCGCCCGUCGCUACUACCGAUUGAAUGGCUCAGUGAGGCGUCCGGACUGGCCCAGAGAGGUGGGCAACUACCACUCAGGGCCGGAAAGCUCUCCAAACUCGGUCAUUUAGAGGAAGUAAAAGUCGUAACAAGGUCUCCGUUGGUGAACCAGCGGAGGGAUCAUUACCGAGUUUACAACUCCCAAACCCCUGUGAACAUACCACUUGUUGCCUCGGCGGAUCAGCCCGCUCCCGGUAAAACGGGACGGCCCGCCAGAGGACCCCUAAACUCUGUUUCUAUAUGUAACUUCUGAGUAAAACCAUAAAUAAAUCAAAACUUUCAACAACGGAUCUCUUGGUUCUGGCAUCGAUGAAGAACGCAGCAAAAUGCGAUAAGUAAUGUGAAUUGCAGAAUUCAGUGAAUCAUCGAAUCUUUGAACGCACAUUGCGCCCGCCAGUAUUCUGGCGGGCAUGCCUGUUCGAGCGUCAUUUCAACCCUCAAGCCCUCGGGUUUGGUGUUGGGGAUCGGCGAGCCCUUGCGGCAAGCCGGCCCCGAAAUCUAGUGGCGGUCUCGCUGCAGCCUCCAUUGCGUAGUAGUAAAACCCUCGCAACUGGAACGCACGCGGCCAAGCCGUUAAACCCCCAACUUCUGAAUGUUGACCUCGGAUCAGGUAGGAAUACCCGCUGAACUUAAGCAUAUCAAUAAGCGGAGGAA
rnacentral:rRNA from 1 species